rnacentral:rRNA from 1 species
AGUGAACGCUGGCGGUAGGCCUAACACAUGCAAGUCGAACGGCAGCACAGUAAGAGCUUGCUCUUACGGGUGGCGAGUGGCGGACGGGUGAGGAAUACAUCGGAAUCUACUUUUUCGUGGGGGAUAACGUAGGGAAACUAACGCUAAUACCGCAUCCGCCCUACGGGUGAAACCAGGGGACCUUCGGACCUUGCGCGUUUGAAUGGGCCGAUGUCGGAUUGGCUAGUUGGCGGGGUAAGGGCCCACAAAGGCGACGAUCCGUAGCUGGUCUGAGAGGAUGAUCAGCCACACUGGAACUAGACACGGUCCAGACUCCUACGGGAGGCAGCAGUGGGGAAUAUUGGACAAUGGGCGCAAGCCUGAUCCAGCCAUACCGCGUGGGUGAAGAAGGCCUUCGGGUUGUAAAGCCCUUUUGUUGGGAAAGAAAAGCAGCAGGUUAAUACCCCGCUGUUCUGACGGUACCCAAAGAAUAAGCACCGGCUAACUUCGUG